rnacentral:rRNA from 1 species
UACGUAGGGUGCAGGCGUUAAUCGGAAUUACUGGGCGUAAAGCGUGCGCAGGCGGUUUGCUAAGAGAGAUGUGAAAUCCCCGGGCUUAACCUGGGAACUGCGUUUCUAACUGGCAGGCUUGAGUGUGGCAGAGGGGGGUGGAAUUCCACGUGUAGCAGUGAAAUGCGUAGAGAUGUGGAGGAACACCGAUGGCGAAGGCAGCCCCCUGGGCUAACACUGACGCUCAUGCACGAAAGCGUGGGGGGCAAAAGGG